UCGAGCGUCAUUAUCAACCAUCAAGCACUGCUUGGCAUUGGAUGUCGUCCCUCGCGGACUCGUCUUAAACCCUUUGGCGGCGGUUACAUACCUCAAGCGUAGUAGAAAUCCUUAGCUUUUUAGGUUGUGGCCGUUCUGCCUCGAGAACAUCUCACCUCAAGGUUGACCUCGGAUCAGGUAGGGAUACCCGCUGAACUUAA
rnacentral:misc_RNA from 1 species